CGGGGUAGCUCAGUGGUUAGAGCGUGGGUCUCAUAAUCCCAAGGUCGUGGGUUCAACUCCCACCCCCGG
rnacentral:tRNA from 1 species